UACGUAGGGGGCAAGCGUUGUCCGGAAUCAUUGGGCGUAAAGAGCGUGUAGGCGGCCCGAUAAGUCCGCUGUGAAAGUCCAGGGCUCAACCCUGGGAUGCCGGUGGAUACUGUCGGGCUCGAGUCCGGAAGAGGAGUGUGGAAUUCCUGGUGUAGCGGUGAAAUGCGCAGAUAUCAGGAGGAACACCAAUGGCGAAAGCACUCUGCUGGGCCGACACUGACACUGAGAGACGAAAGCUAGGGGAGCGAAUGGG
rnacentral:rRNA from 1 species